rnacentral:rRNA from 1 species
AUUGAACGCUGGAGGCAGGCCUAACACAUGCAAGUCGCACGAGUGGCGGACGGGUGAGUAAUGUCUGGGAAACUGCCCGACGGAGGGGGAUAACUACUGGACACGGUAGCUACUACCGCAUACCAUCGGAUGUGCCCAGAUGUGAUUAGCUAGUAGGUGGGGUAACGGCUCACCUAGGCGACGAUCCCUAGCUGGUCUGAGAGGAUGACCAGCCACACGGGAACUGAGACACGGCCCAGACUCCUACGGGAGGCAGCAGUGGGGAAUAUGGCACAAUGUGCGCAAGCCUGAUGCAGCCAUGCCGCGUGUAUGAAGAAGGCCUGCGGGUUGUAAAGUACGUUCAGCGGGGAGGCGGUACUCGCAGAAGAAGCACCGGCUAACUCCGUGCCAGCAGCCGCGGUAAUUC